rnacentral:rRNA from 1 species
GACGAACGCUGGCGGCGUGCUUAACACAUGCAAGUCGAACGGAAAGGCCCCUUUGGGGGUACUCGAGUGGCGCACGGGUGAGUAACAUGUGAGUAACCUGCCCUUGACUUCGGGAUAACUUCAGGAAACUGGGGCUAAUACCGGAUAGGAAUCCUUGCUGCAUGGUGGGGGUUGGAAAGAUUUGGCGGUUUUGGAUGGACCUGCGGCUUAUUAGCUUGUUGGUGGGGUAGUGGCCUACCAAGGCUUUGACGGGUAGCCGGCCUGAGAGGGCGAGCGGCCACAUUGGGACUGAGAGACGGCCCAGACUCCUACUGGAGGCAGCAGGGGGGAAUAUUGCACAAUGGGCGGAAGCCUGAUGCAGCAACGCCGCGGGCGGGAUGACGGCCUUCGGGUUGUAAACCGCUUGCAGCAGGGGCGAAGCUUGUGGUGACGGUACCUGCAGAAGAAGCACCGGCUAACUACGUG